rnacentral:rRNA from 1 species
UACGGGGGGAGCAAGCGUUGUUCGGAUUUACUGGGCGUAAAGGGCGCGUAGGCGGUCAGCACAAGUCAGUUGUGAAAUCUCCGGGCUUAACUCGGAAAGGUCAACUGAUACUGUGCGACUAGAGUGCAGAAGGGGCAACUGGAAUUCUCGGUGUAGCGGUGAAAUGCGUAGAUAUCAAGAGGAACACCUGAGGUGAAGACGGGUUGCUGGGCUGACACUGACGCUGAGGCGCGAAAGCCAGGGGAGCAAACGGG